UAUUUACACUGAAACUAGAGGGAAAAUACUUGGUAAGAUUUUGUGUUUUUGAAGUGCAGCAGUUUCACGGACACACAUCUGAUCUUGGCGCGGCGUGAAGAGGAAGGACUGGAGGCUCGGCUGGACUCUGACCUUCGGCGUUUCCAUGACGACGAGGCGAUGGCAGCUCCGACUCCUGCAGGGAAGCUGAGACGUUGUGAAGCCGUCAGAGUGAAGAGGCCUUCAGGGACCAACGGGGGCCUUCAGGGACCGACGGGGCCUUCAGGGACCG